AGGACGAACGCUGGCGGCGUGCUUAACACAUGCAAGUCGAGCGGUAAGGCCCUUUCGGGGGUACACGAGCGGCGAACGGGUGAGUAACACGUGAGCAAUCUGCCCUUCACUUCGGGAUAAGCCUCGGAAACGGGGUCUAAUACCGGAUAUGACUGCGCCAUGCAUGUGGUGUGGUGGAAAGUUCUGGCGGUGAGGGAUGGAGCUCGCGGCCUAUCAGCUUGUUGGUGGGGUAAUGGCCUACCAAGGCUUCGACGGGUAGCCGGCCUGAGAGGGUGACCGGCCACACUGGGACUGAGACACGGCCCAGACUCCUACGGGAGGCCAGCGAGGUAGGGAAUAGUUAGGACAAGUGGGACGAAACGCCGUAGACGUACCAGCAAUGCCGCGUGAGUGAGUG
rnacentral:rRNA from 1 species